GAAAAACUUUUACAAAAUAAUUCAUCAAAUAUGAAAUUAUGUAUAAGAAAACAGUGUUGUAAAUAACUAACAUUUCUCUAUAUGUAACAUAGACUCUUUUUCUACAUAUUCAAUCUACAAAGUCAAUAAUCCUCUCGCAUAUACAUAAUCCCAUUGAUGUUACACAUACCAUAUUGCCCUCAUGUUGAGGUGAUGUUGCCUCUUUGGACACAUACACACAAAUACAUUCACACAACUACACACAAACACACUGAUUCACAGCGACACACAAUACACACAUGCUUGGCUGAAAGAGGGACAUAUCCACAUAGAUCAAUAAAGGUUUGUAUCACCAGCAGUGUUAAUUUUGGCAGCAAAUUUUAAGUGUUUUAGUCAUAGUCUUUUGACAAAAAAGCC